UACGGGGGGGGCAAGCGUUGUUCGGAAUUACUGGGCGUAAAGGGCUCGUAGGUGGCCAACUAAGUCAGACGUGAAAUCCCUCGGCUUAACCGGGGAACUGCGUCUGAUACUGGAUGACUUGAGUUCGGGAGAGGGAUGCGGAAUUCCAGGUGUAGCGGUGAAAUGCGUAGAUAUCUGGAGGAACACCGGUGGCGAAGGCGGCAUCCUGGACUGACACUGACGCUGAGGAGCGAAAGCGUGGGGAGCGAACAGG
rnacentral:rRNA from 1 species